UCCGGUGACAAUGACGGAGAGGAAACACCUGUUCCCAUUCCGAACACAGAAGUUAAGCUCUCCAGUGCCGAUGAUACUUGGGUGGAAACGCCCUGGGAAAGUAGGUCGUUGCCGGAA
rfam:[Clostridium] stercorarium subsp. stercorarium DSM 8532 chromosome, complete genome.